GUGGGCAGGGCUCAUUGCACAUCUGGUUAAAAUUAACAGCCAUCCUGCCAGCACUGGAUGAUGGUCCAACCUCUGAAUGCCAAGCUUUCCGGUUGAGAUGCCCUUCAUCAGGCAAAGGAGAAAUCCAAGAUGUUAAGAGUUCUGCCAGGUAGAAAGGCAACUUCAUCUUGCAGAGGAGAGACCACAGAUGCUGGGGUUUCUCCUGAGUGGAAAGUGAUGAGCAUCUGACAUGCAGAGGGGUUUUAAAGGACAAGAAAACAUUGGACAAUGGCAGGGUGAGUUGAGAGCACCGGUCCCCAAGUAAGUCCAGUAAAACCAGAGUCCGUGGGCUAUGGAGAUGAAGCUGUUGAGAAGGAUGUGGACAGACGUGCGCAGUGACUCCUGGUG
rnacentral:lncRNA from 1 species